UCAAAUUUGAAAUCUGGCCUCGGCCCGAGUUGUAAUUUGCAGAGGAUGCUUCUGGCGCGGUGCCUUCCGAGUUCCCUGGAACGGGACGCCACAGAGGGUGAGAGCCCCGUAUGGUCGGACACCAAGCCUGUGUGAAGCUCCUUCGACGAGUCGAGUAGUUUGGGAAUGCUGCUCUAAAUGGGAGGUAAAUCUCUUCUAAAGCUAAAUACCGGCCAGAGACCGAUAGCGCACAAGUAGAGUGAUCGAAAGAUGAAAAGCACCUUGAAAAGGGGGUUAAAUAGUACGUGAAAUUGUUGAAAGGGAAGCACUUAUGACCAGACUUGGGCCGGGCGGCUCAUCAGGGGUUCUCCCCUGUGCACUCCGCCCGGCACAGGCCAGCAUCGGUUCUCGUGGGGGGAUAAGACCGUUAGGAACGUAGCACCCUCCGGGGUGUGUUAUAGCCUGGCGGACGAUACCCCCGUGGGGACCGAGGUCCGCGCUCCGCAAGGAUGCUGGCGUAAUGGUCAUCAGUGACCCGUCUUGAAACACGGACCAAGGAGUCGUCCAUUAGAGCGAGCGUUUGGGUGUAAAACCCGCACGCGUAAUGAAAGUGAACGCAGGUGAGAGCUUCGGCGCAUCAUCGACCGAUCCUGAUGUUCUCGGAAGGAUUUGAGUAAGAGUUUUAACGGACGGACCCGAAAGACAGUGAACUAUGCUUGUAUAGGGUGAAGCCAGAGGAAACUCUGGUGGAGGCUCGCAGCGGUUCUGACGUGCAAAU
rnacentral:rRNA from 1 species